GGCCUCGUAGCUCAGCUGGUAGAGCAUGCGCGUACAAAGCGUAGGCGGUGUCCAUGCGUGGGUUCGAAUCCAACCGAGGCUA
rnacentral:tRNA from 1 species